AGGCGGUUGCUAGGCUCCAGCGGCUCCCGGCCAGCGGGGACGUGGAGGUGACAUUUCUCUGACCCACAGGACUGUGGGCGCCCUGCCGAGCGUCGCGCGGUCUUGGGGCGACCUGCAGUGGGGCCCCUGCGGCGCAGCGCGCGGUGGGACUGGCCGGGUUCCCGCGCCGCCCAGGGCCUGUGUCUGCGCCGGUUCCUGGCAAGGGCACCUUGGCCGGGCGGCCCGCGUCCCCUGCGCUUCCCACACCCACGUGGGCGGACCCGGCCCGCAAGCUGGGCCAGCCUGCGGUUUCCGGGCACUGGGGAGUGCGCAGAGCCCCGGGCCAGCGACCGCAGCCGGGGCCCCUGGCUUCUCCCGAGCACUUUCCCCCGGACCGGUCCCUCCAGGGUGGCGGGCGGCACCCAGGGCCGGCGCUCCUCACCAACGCGCUGCAGCUACGGGCUCAGGAGGGAGCCGCAGCGUCGGAGGAGGAAAGCAUUUAAGAAUAGCACAAAGCCUUAGGCUCGAGGAAGCGUGACUGCUUACGUGUUGAAAAUAAAGGUUCUGUAAGUCCCACCGCGGGUGCAUAUUGAAAAGAAAGGGAUCAUUAGCACGCGACCCUCGCCUAGGAGUAUAUAAACCGCAGCACGACUUUCGGAUCACAAAGGCAGAGAAAAGAACACAUUGAAGGCUUUUGCUCACUUUUCCAAGUUGUUUCGUUUCGUUUUGUUUCUAAUGUGGACGAUCAUUUAAAAUGCCUCUGGUGGCCGGGCGCGGUGACUGACGCCUGUAAUCACAGCACUUUGGGAGGCCGAGGCGGGCGGAUCACCUGAGGUCAGGAAUUCGAGACCAGCCUGGGCAAUACGGUUAAACCCCCUCUCUACUAAAAAUAAAAAAAUUAGCUGGGCGUGGUGGCAUGUGCUUGUAGUCCCAGCUACUUGGGAGGCUGAGACAGAAGAAUCGCUUGAACCCGGGAGGCGGAAGUUGCAAUGAGCCAAGAUUGCGCCAUUGCAUUCCAGCCUGGGCAACAGAGCAAGACCCUGUCUCCAAAAAAAACAAAUAAAUAUAACAAAAUUCCUCUGGUAGCCGGGUGCGGUGGCUCACGCCUGUAAUCUCAGCACUUUGGGAGGCUGAGGCAGGUGGAUCACUUGAAGUCAAGAGUUUGAGACCAGCCUGGCCAAUAUAGUGAAACCUCAUCUCUACUGAAAAUACAAAAAUUAGCCAGGCGUGGUGAUGCGCUCCUGUGAUCCCAGCUACUCGGGAGGCUGAGGCGUGAGAAUCGGUUGAACCCGGGAGGUGGAGGUUGUAGUGAUCCGAGAUUGUGCCAUUGCACUCCAGCCUGGGCAACAGAGGGAGAUCCUGUCUCUAAAAUAAAAAAUAAAAGAAAUGCCUUUGGUGAACAGGAAUUCUCAACAUUAGUGACCCGCAGUGUAUUAGUGUUAAUAAUGGACAUCCCCUUUGAUCCAGCAAGCCCAUCUAGAGAUUUCCUAGGAUAGACAAGCCAGUUUGUGCAAUUUCAUGUGUACAGCAUUGUUUUUAGUAUGGAAAGAUUAGAGUUUACAUAUCUACCCAUAGGGAGAGAGUUAAAUAAAUUAUGGUGCAUCCGUUUAGUGGAUUAGUAUACAGCCAUUAGGAAUAAAGGAAUUCUUUAUGUGCUGAUAUGAAAUAUCUUUUUUAUUUUCAAGAAAAAAACCCAGGUUCUGAAUAGUGUAUAAAGUAUGCUACUCAUUGUGCAUAGGGACAAAGAAAAUAUAUACAUUCAUGUUUGCAAAGAUACUGGAGAAAUGUUAGUAGUGGCUGCCUCUAAGGAUGACCAAGAGUGACACUGACUUUUCAUUGUAUCUUCCUUUGUUCUUUUUGAAAUUUGUACAGUCUACUUAUGCUAUCUAUUCAAAAUAAGUGGUGUUAAGAAGAAAUGCCUUUGAGAAUGAAAAUGGUAAGCCCUUGAUUGAGUGGGGUUCAUUUUCUGUUAGGAUCGUGGUCUCUAUUGGUCACAGCUGACCUUGAUCGUCACUGAAAGUGUAUCUCAUUACACAAUAUUGCAGUCUUGAACACCAGGAAGGUUGUUCUGUUCCACAUGAACAUGCUUCAUGAUGGGGUUAGGAAUGUACAACCUGUGAAAAGUGAGGGAGUCUUGAUUAUUAAUAAUAAUAUUAUUAAUAGCUACCUUUUCUUGAUCAUUAGGCACUAUUUGUACAUUAUUUCUCCUUCUCACAUCAACCCAGAAGGUAGGUAUAAGGAAACUGAGUGGCUUCUUGAAUGAAGCCAAACUGCUCUGCAAGAUUGGUGGAAAAGGAGACUCUCCAUGUGCUAACAGGUUCCUGGAUCUCAUAGCUGCUCUGUCUUAGCCCUUAAUAUGUUUCUUUUCCUCAUGGAUGGUGGUUCUGAAACCUGAGCUGUCAGAAGAAUCCUUGGCAGAUUCCUAGAUCCCAGCCUCAGACUCAGAAGGUCUGGAGUUGGGGCUGAAAGCUGCGUGGCUAAUGGGCACUGCAGGUGACUCUGAGGCUGCUGGUCAGUGUCUAGCACUUGGAGAAACUCUACUGAGGGCACCUGCCCCUAAUGCACUGUUGCCACCACUGGGCUGGGGUCAAGAGGCUUUACUUCCCACAUUUGGGCCUCAAUUGGGACCUCUGAGCUUUCCACUAGUUUCCGUUCCAUGAAGGAGUACAAAUUGGAGUAUGUAAAGACAAAAGACAUACGUAAGUGGAUAAUUUGGGUUUGAACUAAGUUCUCUGCGACUCUCAAAGCCAUACUUCCCCCAUGUUGCCACAAAAAGUAUUUGUUUCAUGUUGCCAUGUAUCUCUUACUUCAAAUAUGAAGCAGGAAUGUGAUCUAAAGCAUAAGAACAUAGCAAUAGAUAGACCCAUGUACAUGAUUUCGUAAAACUUUAGAAAGGCCAGUCCUACAUGGUUUGUCCAUAUUUGGACGGUGUGUGGAAUGCACAAAUGAAAGCAUCACUGGCUAUUCUGAACCCCAGGUUUGUGGAAGUGAGUGUAAAGGCCCAGCAGUGAGCCCCAAUCUCACCUGCCCAUCAAAGUUCAGAAACGACAAUCAGAAUAGGCCGCACUUGGCGCUUCCCUGUAGACACAGGAUCUGUGAGUUUGGACAGAUUUCUGGUCAGUUUGGAAGGAAGCUGGCCUCUGUUAACAGAGCACCCCUUAUGGGUCAGUGUUGUGCAGGCAGUCCACAUACACUGUGUGUAUGCGAUGACAGUGCGUCUGCUUGUAGAAGGGGCUGGGUCCCCUCUGCAGAGCCUCCGCAUGGGGCUGCAUGACUGGUUCCGGCCGACUUGCUGGGGAGCGCACAGCCUGUCCACAAAGGGAAUCUUCAUCCUUCCUGAUCUGUAGAGCCAUUUGCAAUGCGUGAUGGCAACUGCUUAACUUCAGUUUUCGUCCCUGGGCCAGAGAUUUCUGUGCCCUGGGAUAAUAAACGUAUUAUCUAAAGAGCUUUUAUUUCUUUCUAGAGAAUAAGGAAAAUGAUACUCUGCAGAAUUUCUAUUUCUUUUGUAAUUAUCUCAGGGGAAGGUAGUUAUUAAGUGUUCACUGAUUAGGAUUAAUGUUUCCAAUUUUUGUCAAGAACAGAAUGUAUGUAUUACUAAUUUAACCAUAAUUUCAAUCAAAACUGUGUCAUUAAAAAUGUUGGCAGUCAUGCAUUUCCUGCAUGGUUAUGAAUUUUUUCAUGUAUCUAUAGUAUUUUUCUAACAGUCUAAUUUUAAUUCAUUCACUUUCUCACGAAAAUGUAUUUUUUUUCCAUUUCAGCAUGUAGUACUUGUGUUACCUUUUCACGAGGCCCACACUCCUCCAAGGAGGCUGCUGAUUGUCUCUAAACUGAUUACCUCCAUUUGUUCUUUCCUUGAUCUUACAGUGUCCAUCAGCUUCCUAUGAUUGAAGAAAAGCUUCCACUUGUAAUAAACCAACUUCUCUCAUCCAGUUAUCAACAUAGACCAAAAAAAAAAAGAAAAAAAAAAGGCCAGGCGCAGUGGCUCAUGCCUGUAAUCCCAGCACUUUGGGAGGUCAAGGUGGGCAGAUCACUUGAAGUCAGGAGUUCAAGACCAGUCUGGCCAACAUGGUGAAACCCUGUCUCUACUAAAAAUACAGAAAUUAGCCGGGAAUUGGUGGUGCGCACCUAUAGUUCCAGCUACUCAGGAGGCUGAGGCAGGUGAAUCGCUUGAAUCCAGGAGGCGGAGGUUGCAUUGAGAGGAGAUCAUGCCACUGCACUGGGCGGCAGAGCAAAACUCUGUCUCAAGAAGAAAAAGAAAAAAGAAAAAAGCGGAGUCGUUCUGUGAGUGAAAACACUGAAUUCCACCGGUUCCUGAUCAUAUUGCCUUUAUUUCAUUCAUUCAUUCAUUCUGGAAAUGGGGAUAAAUAGCCCGUUUGUCUUUCCUGCAGGUUUGUUACGAUGGUGAAGGCAAUUUAGAAGGAACUAUUUAGUGGAGGAUAAAAGUGUUUUGUAAAUGUUAAGAUGCAUUGUUUUGUUUCUGUCCUGUUGCCCAAUUUUCUCUCAGCCCAACACCUGCCUCUAUUUGGUUCUUAGGUUACACAUUAAUUCCAUUUGCUUAGUAAUUUAAAGAAUGUACUGUAGUACACCAAUAAGCUAACAAACUCGGGCCCUUGACCCCAAGUCACCAGUGUCACCUAGAUUCAAAAACCAAUAUAACGAGUCAAGUAUGAAUGCACAAUAUUUUAGCUAAGCCCUUCCUGUCCCACCUCUAAUGAAUCCACAUGCUGCCCCAGGGCUUGGUACAUGCUGUUAAGUAAGCAGCUUUGCUCCCUCCUGCUCCCUGUUUUUGUCUUAGGUUGGUUUCAGUCCUUCCACUGUGGAUGGAGAAGUCACAAAGAAAUGGUUUUGCAGGCAAGGAAUCUUUACUCUGUUUAGCAACUCAGUAACUUGCUAGCAAAUAAAUGGCAAAGGGUCAAAGGAAGUGGAAACAUCACUAUUUUGCAAUCCCUAUUGAAAUGAGGGAUUCAAGCAGCAAUCAUCAAUAGAAGCCAAAAUCCUCCUUUGACGGGAACUGGAUAAUCCCAAGUGCUGGACUGUCGCCCACAGAUUCUCCGCUGCUGGUCAUGAGGGGAAAAGUGCUCAACAUACUAUACAGGCAGCUUACCCAACCCCUCUGUCCCCAGGAGCUGGGAGCAGGGAGAAAUAGUGAGGAGGUUUUCAUGGUCAAAUGUAUUUAGGAGACUUAUUUGAAUCAGGCAAUUACUUAAUUUCUGCAGCUCUUCUGAGAGCCUUUACUAAGCUAUGUGAAUUGUGAUACCGCAAGAGGAACUCUCACCAUGUAGCAUUUCCCAAAUUUUUAUUGAGACAGAGUCUCACUCUGUCACCCAGGAUGGAGUGCAAUAGCGUGAUCUCAGCUCACUGCAAUCUGCUUCCCAGGUUCAAGUGAUUGUCAUGCCUCAGCCUCCCAAGUAGCUGGGAUUACAGGCCUGUGCCACUAUGCUCAGCUACUUUUUGUAUUUUUAGUAGAGACAGGGUUUCACCAUGUUGGCUGGUCUGGUCUCGAACUCCUGGUCUCAAGUGAUCCACCUGUCUCGGCUUCCCAAAGUGCUGGGAUUAGAGACGUGAGCCACUGCGCCUGGUCCUCCCAAACUUCUUUGAACAUAGAGCCCGUUUGGAAGGUGGAUUUGUGGGACUAAGCCUCCCAGGGGCUCCGGUGGCUGUACGCCCUGAUGGCUGUGCACCCCGACCGCUGUGCACCACGACAGCUUCCAUGCCUUCCAAGCUGGGGGGUGCCAUGGGAGGGCUCAGAGCCUCACCCCAGGCUGGAUGAGCUCGACUGCUUUGUAGCUGCCUGUAUGUGGCAAGUAACUAACACUCCCUAGGCCUCAAUUUUUUAAUCUAUAAAAUGAAAGCAGUAAAUGUCACAUCAUAUAAGUUGUUGAGUAUUUAUGAGAAUUAAAAGGAAUAAUCGCCAUAAAAGGCCUGAUACUGCCAAUCAUAUAUUGGACAAAUAUGAAUUUCCCUUUUUCCCUUUAUUCUACUUUAUGGCAACUCCUACCUACUAUUCUCUUUCUUUUGCUACUAAGCAGACAUAUGGGUUUGUUUGUUUGUUUUAUCAGGGAGAGGUUCUAAAUGUUGUACCCUUUAACCCUCAAAGCAUUAUCUAUUCUCUUAGAGGGUAAAGGGCAGAGAUGUUAUCCCUAUUGGUUUCUAACCUUGGAGAAGGUCAGAAACGUCAUGAGCUCUCUCUAGAUCCUCUUAUCUGCUUCUCUUACACAAUCGUUUGGUUCUGUGUGUGGUGAAAACUGAAUUGGGGGAAAAUCAGAUCGGCAGAAACCAAAUGUUGAACCAACUGGUGAAUAGAGAAAUACAGAUUAAGUAUCCCUACAAUGGAAUAUUAUUCAGCAAUAGAAAGAAAUGAAGUAUGGACCCAUGCAUGGAAGGAUGCAGGGGUGUUUCCUACAGCAUAGAAGGACCUUGAAAACACAGGGCUAAGUGAGAGGAGCCGGACAGGAAGGAUCAUGUAUUGUGUGGUCUGCUCAUGUAUGAUCUGCUCACAUAUUGUAUGAUCUGCUUACAUGAAAUGCCCAAGGUAGGCAAAUCCAGAGUCAGGAAAUAGGUCGGUGGUUGCCAGGGACAGGGACUUUUGGGGGAAAAUAGAGAGUGGCUGUUAACAGGGACCUGCUUUCUUCUAGGGUGAUGAAAAUGGUCUAACAUUGAUUGUAGUGAGGGUUGUGCAGCUCUGUGAAUAUGCUAAAGAACCAUCGAAUUGGACACUUUAAAUGGGUGCAAAUUAUAUUCCAAUAAACUAUCUGUAGAAACUUAAGAGUUUAUUAUUAUUAUUAUUUUGAGACGGAGUCUUGGUCUGUCGCCCAGGCCGGAGUGCAGUGGCGUGAUCUCAGCUAACUGCAACCUCCGCCUCCUGGGUUCAAGCGAUUCUCCUGCCUCAGCCUCCUGAGUAG
rnacentral:lncRNA from 1 species